GGCAGGAAAGAGGACUGUCAAGUCUGUCCAGAAGGCUAUUACUGUAAGGAGGGUACAUCCAAACCCACUUCCUGUCCACCGGCAACAUUUAGUCGGAUAAAGGGGGGCCGGAGAGCAGAGGAUUGCUCUGUGUGUCCUGCUGGCUACUUCUGUCCUCAUCCGGCCACAAUAAAUCCAAAAGUUUGUGGAACAGGAAGUUAUUCUGAUGAGGGAUCAGUGGAGUGUCAGCCAUGUUUGCCGGGUCACUACUGCAGCAAUGAGACCACCAGUGAAGAGGCCAUGCUCAGAGUAAUGGUCUGCCCCCCAGGUUUCCUCUGCUCACAGGGCCUGGAUCGAGAACCCCAGCGCUCAGCGGUAUUCUGCCCAAUUGGCUUUUACUGUCCCGGUGGAAGCAUUGAUCCUAAUCCUGUUCCGUGCCCCAAAGGAACCUACAGUCGACAGCCAGGACUACGUGACCCUUCAGACUGCACAAACUGUCCCGAGGGCAAAUACUGCUACACAGAGAAUCCCCAUGAAGAGCCCAUUAUUGAACCAACAGGAAACUGUCCUGAUGGAUACUUCUGUCCUCCUGGUACCGGACAUCCAAACUCAUUUCCGUGCCAGUCUGGCUUCUUUAGGAAUGACUCGUAUGGACAUGGAGGAGAAGCUUGUGUGGAAUGUCCUCCUGGUCACUACUGUCCUACUCUGGCCACACACACUCCUACAGUCUGUCCACAGG
ensembl:lncRNA